GGGCAGCAGGACCAGUGUGAGCAUUGCAGGGGGCUGGGACAAGGGCACACAAGGUUCCAGGACACUCUGGGAGUGCUGGCUCUGUCCUGGCUGUGGAACAGCAGUUUGGAGGUAUUUAAAAGCCACACCAACAGCAGGGAGCUUCAGAAAAUGGAGCAAGUGGGAAAUAUUUAACAGUACUGUUUUGCCAGGUGUAGACCCAGGAUGAAGCCAUGAAUGAUUUUCAGGUUGCUGUCUUAGGAACUGGGUGACUAUCAGAACAAAUUCCAAGAAAACCUGGACAAAGCACAGGGACCACCCUUGUGAGCAGACACCAAUGCUGGCAGUGAGAUUAAUCAAGAGUAGAUUUUUAAAAUUAAUAAAUGUCUAAAUGAAUACAA
rnacentral:lncRNA from 12 species